UACAGAGGUCUCAAGCGUUGUCCGGAUUUAUUGGGCGUAAAGAGCGUGUAGGCGGCCAGGUAGGUCUGGUGUGAAAACUCGAGGCUUAACCUCGAGAUGUCAUCGGAAACCAUCUGGCUAGAGUCCGGAAGAGGAGAGUGGAAUUCCUGGUGUAGCGGUGAAAUGCGCAGAUAUCAGGAAGAACACCAAUGGCGAAGGCGCUCAUCUGGCCCAAUACUGACGCUGAAGCGCGAAAGCUAGGGGAGCAAACGGG
rnacentral:rRNA from 1 species